UACGUAGGGCGCAAGCGUUAUCCGGAAUUAUUGGGCGUAAAGAGCUCGUAGGCGGCUUGUUACGUCGGCUGUGAAAACCCGCGGCUCAACCGCGGGCCUGCAGCCGAUACGGGCAGGCUAGAGUUCGGUAGGGGAGACUGGAAUUCCUGGUGUAGCGGUGAAAUGCGUAGAUAUUGGGAGGAACACCAGUGGCGAAGGCGGCUACCUGGACCGGUACUGACGCUGAUGCGCGAAAGCGUGGGUAGCAAACAGG
rnacentral:rRNA from 1 species